GGCAGAACUGGGGGAGCUGUGCCUCAGCUGUGGGCACAGAAGGCAGGACGCAGGACAGUCCCCACCAUGGCCUGGUCCCCUCUCCUCCUCACUCUCCUGACUCACUGCACAAGGGCCUGGGCCCAGUCUGUGCUGACUCAGCCACCCUCAGUGUCUGGAGCCCUGGGGGAGACGGUCACCAUCUCCUGCUUGGGAAGCAGCAGCAACAUCGGGGGUGGGAAUUAUGUGCACUGGUACCAGCAGCUCCAGGGAACGGCCCCUAAACUCAUCAUCUAUGGUAACAGCAACAGACCUUCGGGGGUCCCUGGCAGAUUCUCUGGCUCCAAGUCUGGUAGUUCAGCCUCCCUGUCCAUCACGGGACUUCAGAGUGAAGAUGAGGCUGAUUAUUUCUGUCAGUCCUAUGACAACAGCCUGCGUGCUCACACAGUGCUCCAGGCCCACGAGGAAGUGAGACAAAAACCCCCUUCUCACUCGCCAAGAGGGUGAACACCCGGCAGCUGC